UGUUGGGUUGUUUUGCUGGGUUAUUUUUUUACAUUUUAAACACUUUUUGGGUAGUUUCAGUUUUCUAGGUGUUGGGUUAAAACUGCUGGGUUAUUAUGUUGGGUUGUUUGAAGAGGCUCACGUGCUUCGCGCCCUUGAUGUUUGAAUGUGCUCAGCAAUGGUCGUCGUGAAAGGACAGAGUCACUGAAGCAGUUGUUUCAAGAGUGUGCAGAGUUUUUAUGUCCAUCCAUUGAUGAGGCUAGCAAGACCUUCAAACAACUUCAGCCAAUUGCAACAAAUGUGGUGGAAUUUCUUCUCUGGACAGAAUCCUCGAAACCCUUUCCUUUCGUCCUGGCC